UGCCCCAUGGCUGAGUUGGUUACAGCGUCCGACUGUUACCGUGUGGUAUGCGACAUCGGAAGGUCGUGAGUUCGAAACUCACUGGGGCAG